AGGUCCAGUUCGGAACUUUGCCGUAGGUAUAUGCCGAAAAGUACCGAAUGUGUGUCUGGUAUGGAAAAUACGUAAAUGGGCGACUUUAAACCCCUGUGGUGGUGAGACGGGCCCGGAUCCCAGAAAUAUAUUUAAGUGGCGAAUAGCUGGGACAACAUCCCUAAUGCGCCUUGAAAUGAGGAACUCAAAAGUCAUGUGUAAAGAAAAAAUCUCUGUGUAGUGAUAUUGGACAUGUUUCUAUUUUUAACAAAUGACUGAACUUAAUUAUUUGUGGUGAUUAGGAAAGUAGAGGAACAUAGAAUAAAUGUGUAAAAACUAUGGAGCUAUUGAAUGUGUUCAAAGUAUUAAAUUUUCAAAGAACUUAUUGUGUUAAAAAGUGGAUAUUUUACCACAAGGAGCCGCAUCACAAAAGGAUGUUCGGGGUUUGCUAAUUUACGGAAAAAGUAAUCUCACUUCGUACCCCGAAAAUUUAACCACAUAUGUGAAAAUGUCACAGCUUCGAAACGAGCUAUCAUACAUAUCCAAGUUUACGAUAUGGACUGAUCUACAGGAAAAAACGUUACCAUUAUCGCCUAUGGGAAAACAAUUAAAGAUAUUGAGCCAAUUUACAAAAAGAUAAAUCAGAAGUUUCCAGAGUGAUCUAUGGAUGAUUUCACCUUGUACACCCGGGAAAAUUGUGAAAAUGAUGUUCCAGACAUAUCAUUACUUUUUAACCUGAGAUGACAAACUAGAGGUGUUAAAAGGUCCUGAAUAACUGAAAUGGACAAAAAUACACAGAUUUAUUCAGAAUGUCAUACCUAUGAAGAUCACAUAAAAAUAUUUGGAAAAAUCAGAACUAUGGAUUGCAAUAUGGGACAACAUCCCUAAUGCGCCUUGAAAUGAGGAACUCAAAAGUCAUGUGUAAAGAAAAAAUCUCUGUGUAGUGAUAUUGGACAUGUUUCUAUUUUUAACAAAUGACUGAACUUAAUUAUUUGUGGUGAUUAGGAAAGUAGAGGAACAUAGAAUAAAUGUGUAAAAACUAUGGAGCUAUUGAAUGUGUUCAAAGUAUUAAAUUUUCAAAGAACUUAUUGUGUUAAAAAGUGGAUAUUUUACCACAAGGAGCCGCAUCACAAAAGGAUGUUCGGGGUUUGCUAAUUUACGGAAAAAGUAAUCUCACUUCGUACCCCGAAAAUUUAACCACAUAUGUGAAAAUGUCACAGCUUCGAAACGAGCUAUCAUACAUAUCCAAGUUUACGAUAUGGACUGAUCUACAGGAAAAAACGUUACCAUUAUCGCCUAUGGGAAAACAAUUAAAGAUAUUGAGCCAAUUUACAAAAAGAUAAAUCAGAAGUUUCCAGAGUGAUCUAUGGAUGAUUUCACCUUGUACACCCGGGAAAAUUGUGAAAAUGAUGUUCCAGACAUAUCAUUACUUUUUAACCUGAGAUGACAAACUAGAGGUGUUAAAAGGUCCUGAAUAACUGAAAUGGACAAAAAUACACAGAUUUAUUCAGAAUGUCAUACCUAUGAAGAUCACAUAAAAAUAUUUGGAAAAAUCAGAACUAUGGAUUGCAAUAUGGGACAACAUCCCUAAUGCGCCUUGAAAUGAGGAACUCAAAAGUCAUGUGUAAAGAAAAAAUCUCUGUGUAGUGAUAUUGGACAUGUUUCUAUUUUUAACAAAUGACUGAACUUAAUUAUUUGUGGUGAUUAGGAAAGUAGAGGAACAUAGAAUAAAUGUGUAAAAACUAUGGAGCUAUUGAAUGUGUUCAAAGUAUUAAAUUUUCAAAGAACUUAUUGUGUUAAAAAGUGGAUAUUUUACCACAAGGAGCCGCAUCACAAAAGGAUGUUCGGGGUUUGCUAAUUUACGGAAAAAGUAAUCUCACUUCGUACCCCGAAAAUUUAACCACAUAUGUGAAAAUGUCACAGCUUCGAAACGAGCUAUCAUACAUAUCCAAGUUUACGAUAUGGACUGAUCUACAGGAAAAAACGUUACCAUUAUCGCCUAUGGGAAAACAAUUAAAGAUAUUGAGCCAAUUUACAAAAAGAUAAAUCAGAAGUUUCCAGAGUGAUCUAUGGAUGAUUUCACCUUGUACACCCGGGAAAAUUGUGAAAAUGAUGUUCCAGACAUAUCAUUACUUUUUAACCUGAGAUGACAAACUAGAGGUGUUAAAAGGUCCUGAAUAACUGAAAUGGACAAAAAUACACAGAUUUAUUCAGAAUGUCAUACCUAUGAAGAUCACAUAAAAAUAUUUGGAAAAAUCAGAACUAUGGAUUGCAAUAUGGGACAACAUCCCUAAUGCGCCUUGAAAUGAGGAACUCAAAAGUCAUGUGUAAAGAAAAAAUCUCUGUGUAGUGAUAUUGGACAUGUUUCUAUUUUUAACAAAUGACUGAACUUAAUUAUUUGUGGUGAUUAGGAAAGUAGAGGAACAUAGAAUAAAUGUGUAAAAACUAUGGAGCUAUUGAAUGUGUUCAAAGUAUUAAAUUUUCAAAGAACUUAUUGUGUUAAAAAGUGGAUAUUUUACCACAAGGAGCCGCAUCACAAAAGGAUGUUCGGGGUUUGCUAAUUUACGGAAAAAGUAAUCUCACUUCGUACCCCGAAAAUUUAACCACAUAUGUGAAAAUGUCACAGCUUCGAAACGAGCUAUCAUACAUAUCCAAGUUUACGAUAUGGACUGAUCUACAGGAAAAAACGUUACCAUUAUCGCCUAUGGGAAAACAAUUAAAGAUAUUGAGCCAAUUUACAAAAAGAUAAAUCAGAAGUUUCCAGAGUGAUCUAUGGAUGAUUUCACCUUGUACACCCGGGAAAAUUGUGAAAAUGAUGUUCCAGACAUAUCAUUACUUUUUAACCUGAGAUGACAAACUAGAGGUGUUAAAAGGUCCUGAAUAACUGAAAUGGACAAAAAUACACAGAUUUAUUCAGAAUGUCAUACCUAUGAAGAUCACAUAAAAAUAUUUGGAAAAAUCAGAACUAUGGAUUGCAAUAUGGGACAACAUCCCUAAUGCGCCUUGAAAUGAGGAACUCAAAAGUCAUGUGUAAAGAAAAAAUCUCUGUGUAGUGAUAUUGGACAUGUUUCUAUUUUUAACAAAUGACUGAACUUAAUUAUUUGUGGUGAUUAGGAAAGUAGAGGAACAUAGAAUAAAUGUGUAAAAACUAUGGAGCUAUUGAAUGUGUUCAAAGUAUUAAAUUUUCAAAGAACUUAUUGUGUUAAAAAGUGGAUAUUUUACCACAAGGAGCCGCAUCACAAAAGGAUGUUCGGGGUUUGCUAAUUUACGGAAAAAGUAAUCUCACUUCGUACCCCGAAAAUUUAACCACAUAUGUGAAAAUGUCACAGCUUCGAAACGAGCUAUCAUACAUAUCCAAGUUUACGAUAUGGACUGAUCUACAGGAAAAAACGUUACCAUUAUCGCCUAUGGGAAAACAAUUAAAGAUAUUGAGCCAAUUUACAAAAAGAUAAAUCAGAAGUUUCCAGAGUGAUCUAUGGAUGAUUUCACCUUGUACACCCGGGAAAAUUGUGAAAAUGAUGGUAAGUAUUUUUUUAUUUAUACCUAGAUAUCCCAGAUGAUUUCAGAUAACCAUUAUAGAUAAAUACCAGCAGAUACUCAAUGAAAUUUUCGCUUUUAGAAAGCAUUGCAGGCACGGGGCUGAACACUUUUUUUAGGCACAAUUCAAACUUUGUUUACACCCCCGAGAGAUCCGAAAGGAAUUUGUUUAUGAAUUGAAAAAGGCAUGAACUAACAUAAUAGUUUUAUCUGUAAGUAAACAUGACACAAUACAGUCUUUGUUAUGUAAUUAUCACUCCGGUUUACAGGAAUAACUGAUAAUCAAGGGAGAUAACACACUCCAUACGAGUAAAGUGAAAUACAUCAUCAUCAUGUGCUUUUAUCCAAUAAUUUGACCCAUGGUCAGUCAGUAGAUAUCAUAUGCAGUUAAUAAACAGACAAACAUGUACAUGUAUUAAAGAAAUCAUGAAUUAUUAUUUGUAAUGCACACUAGCAAAUCACAAGAUAUUGUCUUUUCUCAGUGAAAAAGGGGGAGGGUCAACAAACCUUUCGAAAACAAUAUUGCUGCACCUUUUCAACUAUUAAGCUAGUUAGCUACCACUCGUUGCUUCUAAUAUAAAAGAUUUAAAUGAAGGUUGAUAAGCCACAAGGGAGAAGCAUUUUUCUUUCUUUGCGAUAAAACAUUCAAGAAUUUGAUUUUUGCUCUCUCAAUAAUACUUAUGUAUUUAAACCAAAUAAUAACA